UACGUAGGGGGCGAGCGUUGUCCGGAUUUACUGGGCGUAAAGCGCGUGUAGGCGGCGGCUUAAGUCGGGUGUGAAAGCCCGGGGCUCAACCCCGGGAUGCCGCUCGAGACUGGGUCGCUUGAGGACGGAAGAGGGGCGUGGAAUUCCUGGUGUAGCGGUGAAAUGCGUAGAGAUCAGGAGGAACACCCGUGGCGAAGGCGGCGCCCUGGUCCGUUACUGACGCUGAGACGCGAAAGCGCGGGGAGCGAACGGG
rnacentral:rRNA from 1 species